ACCUAGUGCCAAGUCACUGUUAGAGAUGAUCCUGCGAUUAUGCCAUUCGGAUGCUAAAGAUGUAAUCAGCAAAUACAACCUAGCUAGGGAGGGUUUAAACAACUUGGCUGGACAGAAUUUAGCUGUGGGGAAUGUGCCCAAGAAUCAGCCUGUGUUUCGUGAAGGCCAGCCUGUUUUCCAUCUCGGAAAAAAAGUUGGCCGGAGUUUGGAUGGCAGAGCAGGCGUCUACUUGGCACAAGGGGUGGGAGAUGUAGUUGGGGAUCUCUUGGUUGUGUCAUUUAACAACGAUGCAAGCUUGGAUGAAGGUGUGAAGACUUUCUUAAACACUAGUAAUAUUGCCCAAGAUAUUAACAAUGUUCUUAAGUGGAAUCAGAAGAUAUUUUCCACUGGGGAAGAAACGUAUUUGAGCUUAGAAGAGGUUAAAUGAUCGUUGUACGAUCUAAUGCCUGCUCGAUACAAAGAUGGAUUACCAGAGAGCAAAAUCCUGCAUCGUAUAGUUGGAGUUGUCUCUGGACUCCAUGAUACUGGCCGCCAUCAUGGGAUGCUUUGCGCAUCUCAUGUAUAUUUGACGGAAGAGGCUACAUAAAAGUAGGUUAUGGAUUGACUGUGUUGGACUUCACAACUGAUAUUGAGAGGAGUAUCCAUCCAGAUGCAUGGAAUGUGACAGCAGUGUACAAGGAAACGUGUGCACCAGAAGGGCAAAAAGACUCGAAGUCCAAUAUUUGGGCCAUUGGUGUGAUUGCUCUGGAGCUAAUCUACGGAGGAUUAGCGGUUUCUGCUCGUGCUACUUUUGACGAGAUAGUUGGUCAGAUUGUGAAAACGAAAAAGCUCCCUGCAUGCUUUGGAAGUGGUAUGCCCAGGAAGAAAAAGUUCUCGGAUAAGUUUAUGGAGCUUUUGGUCGGUUGUUUGACUAAUGAGCCGAAAGAGAGAUUGAUUCCAAAAGUUUUGGAGAAAAAUCCGAUGUUUGAUCGGGCUGUUAAUGCUAGUCAGCUUGAUGAUUUUAAAUGGUAGAAUGAUUGUCGGUCGUUUUAGAGUGGUGCUCAGUUGUUUGUUGUUUGUAGCUUUUUAUGCUUACCUAAGUUGAAAAACAGUAAGAGAAAGUGAUGAACUCUUUGUUGGGAGUAGAAUUUCAUGAUCAUUAACAGUUUAAUGUUUAGGCUUAUCAAGUUCAUGUCAUGCUGUGUUUUGUGCCAACCUGUUGAAAAUAAUAAAACGAUAACCUGCUAACAACUUAACAUGCAGUAGAGCGCAAUAACCAGCUAACAAUCCUAUAAUUUGGAUAACUGACUUGUUAGUGAGUUAGCGAAAGGUGUACUUGUUGGUAAGUCUGGUGAAGAUAGUGAUAUAUUGAAGAUGGUGAAAAUGAUCAUUUUGCGCCAGUAUGAUCCUGUCGUAUAUUUCAGUUUUAGCAAAAGAGAAUGUGAAUUUCUUGCUAUGCAGGUACCAUUCUUUCUUUACCCAUUUUAAGAGCAACUGAUAUCCUUUAUCCUUUAUAAUCUCAUGAAUUGUAUAUUUCUCUUAAUUGUGCAAUUGUAAGUUCUGUUCAUUUUGUUGGGAAUAGCUGAAGCAUAGCACAUCCCGACUUAAAUUAAGCCUACAAUUUGGCGUCCUUUGCUGUUUAGAGUGAUUAGUUUAUUCUAAAACUGCCAAAUCUUUUUAUAUCAGCAUUUAGAAAUAUCAUGCUAGACUUUUAGUACCGUUUUUUUUUAUUGUUUCUAGCCUGUAGCCAAGUGCUGUAACGAUACUCAUAGUUAUUAUUUGGCCUUUUCUACUUAGUAGAUAACAUUUUCUUUUCCCAACAGAUGGCAAAAAUGGAUCUAAGUGAUGAUGAUGAGAAAGUAAACAUUGAAACUAUUUUCAGGAGUGCUAUGGAUAUGCUGUCAGAUGAUGCCAAAGGUUUCAGAAAUGCUGCCCUUGUUGAAACGGGGCAGAGGUGUACAUCACUCUAGAAUGAUUUAUCAAGGUUAGCGUGCACGAGGAGUUGAUGAAACCUCAUAUUACUCAUUUUUCCCCGCCGAUGGAAAAAUGCGGCGCCGGUGACUCGCUCGAGGCCGGGGAAUCGCUAUUGUGGUGCUCCAUUGUUGAUUCGAAAGAAAUGUAUUUUUAGAGAGAGAGAUACUCGUUAAUACAAGUGGUGCGAAUGAAAUGAAGUUCAACGGGAUGUAUUUAUAGAAAUUUUAAAAAAAACAUUUAAUGCAAUAAACGGGAAUUCCGCGCGGACGUCCGUGCAGUCAACGCAAUGGCGGACGUCCGCACGGAAUUCCCCGCGGAAUUCCACGUAAUGCUGCGGAACUGCGGUGUCCUCCUCGGAAUUCCGUACCUGUCAUGCACAAUGGCGGACGUCCGCCGCGGAAUUCCCCUGGUGCUCUUAAUCCUUGUGAUGACGUUCCUUGUGAUGUCAUUUUAAGCAGAUUGAUAGCUUAAGUAGUGUUCGGCUAAUAAUACCAAAGGAUCUUCUCCCAUUAGAAGCUCGAGAAAAUACUUUGAAGAAAGUGUCUGAAGUUUUGGUUCAAAGCAGCUCUUACAGGAAGGCGACAAGGCGGAUAGAAGCACUUGAGAAUCUUUUUGAGAAGCACAAAGUUGCUAAAUCUCCUCUGAUUGAACAGAAGCUCAAAGUCCUGCACACAAAGAAGGAACUUACCACAAAUAUUAGAUCUCUUAAGAAGUCUUCGUCAGUGUUGGCAUUCAAAGAUGAAUUAAAAGCAAGGAAAGGACUCUUAGGAGACUGGGAUAUAUUACAAGUGAUGAUGCUGUUGAGCUGAAGGGAAAAGUUGCUUGUGAAAUCAGCAGUGCAGAAGAGUUGACAUUGACAGAACUCAUGUUUAAUGGGGUUCUAAAGGAUAUAAGGGUGGAGGAGAUGAUAUCUCUUCUGUCAUGUUUUGUUUGGCAAGAUAAACUACAGGAAGCCAAAAAGCCUCGUGAUGAGCUUGAGUUGCUUUUUACACAACUACAGGAAACAGCACGUAAGGUGGCUAAGGUUCAGCUUGAGUGCAAGGUACAGAUAGAUAUUGAGAAUUUCGUGAGCUCUUUCAGACCAGAUAUCAUGGAGGCUGUCUAUGCUCGGGCUAGAGGAUCUAAAUUCUACGAAAUUAUGGAGAUGACACCUGUUUUUGAGGGCAGCUUGAUCCGAGCAAUCAGGAGACUGGAAGAACUCCUCCAGCAGCUGAUACAAGCUGCAAAAUCAAUCGGUGAGAAAGAUCUUGAAGUUAAAUUUGAGGAAGCUGUCACCAUGAUCAAGAGAGAGAUUGUGUUUGCUGCAUCAUUGUACCUAUAGACUAUAGAUGACUUCGAGAGUUUUUUUUGCCAGCAUCCAUACGAUUGAGUGGUAGAUCAUCGAUGGCUCCAGCGUGUUAAAGGUCAUGUGAGCAAGAGAGAAAGAAUGGUAGUUCCUCGGCACUGGAAUGUAUAUCUACACCAGGAAAAUGCAUUAUCUGAUGGACCUAGUCCUUUCUCAAAACGGUAUAGGUUUUGUGGAGAAGUCGACGUGAGUUGUGCAUUCAAGAGGGAAGGUGAUAUGGCGGAGUAUGCAAAAGGAAGAGAGAAGAGAGAGAGUUUAACUUAACUGCUUGCUGCAAAGUUGGGAAGAAAACUGUUGGGUAUAAAAGAGAAGCAAGUUAUACUUAGUUUCCCUGUAGGUGUAAAAGUAGCUGCACCCCGUUUCAUGGGAUAAUUUUUUUUUGUUUA